rnacentral:rRNA from 1 species
GACGAACGCUGGCGGCGUGCCUAAUACAUGCAAGUCGAGCGGACAGAUGGGAGCUUGCUCCCUGAUGUUAGCGGCGGACGGGUGAGUAACACGUGGGUAACCUACCUGUAAGACUGGGAUAACUCCGGGAAACCGGGGCUAAUACCGGAUGGUUGUUUGAACCGCAUGGUUCAAACAUAAAAGGUGGCUUCGGCUACCACUUACAGAUGGACCCGCGGCGCAUUAGCUAGUUGGUGAGGUAACGGCUCACCAAGGCAACGAUGCGUAGCCGACCUGAGAGGGUGAUCGGCCACACUGGGACUGAGACACGGCCCAGACUCCUACGGGAGGCAGCAGUAGGGAAUCUUCCGCAAUGGACGAAAGUCUGACGGAGCAACGCCGCGUGAGUGAUG